ensembl:lncRNA
ACUAAGUAAUUUGUGAAUAAUGCUAUCUCCUCCCCCAGCUGAAAAAUUAAAUCAUGAAAUCACCAGAAAGAAGGCGCUUUUCAGAGAAACGCUGCCUUUCUGCUGAAAUUUGCUGCCAGGAGAACUGUAAAGGAACCAAUUGCUGCUGCUCCUGAGUUUUUCAUCGGGUGAUCCCUUCACCAGGAACACCCACAUCUCUUUUCCUAUCUCUCUAUGGAGAAGACUUUCCAGGACAGUUUGCAGCCUCUGUACAUCAGGCCAGGCCAGGCCAGGCCAGGCCGAGCCGUGGCACUGACAGGGAUGGAGCUCGGUGUGCCAAGACCUCCACCCAACUCUGUGCUGCAAGCUUUGCUCUACGCCCCUUUCCAUUUCAAAAGCCCCAUUUCUGGCCAUGCAUUUGUUAUGACAAGUGCAGAAACAAUUUAAAAGAGACCAGAGUUAGCUCAAAACCUGCUUGCUGAAUGUUAGGGCUUUGGAUAAGUGGUUAGUCUCGCCAACAAGGUUCCCAUGAGAAGCUGAGAGCUCCAUGAGAGUGGAUGCUGGGAUUUGAGGUGAGCUGGAGGAAGUUUAAAGAGAUCCCAGCAGAGCAGGGAGGUGAGGGGGGAGCAGGGAAGGAGGGGACCAGCUGGGCAUCCAACCUCAAUUACCACUCCAGCUGACGUGUGAUCCCAGUGACUAUGGGAUUACUCAGCACUGGCCUGGAAAAGGAGGUGUGGGCCACACCAUCUCUGAUAUAAUCUAUUUCACAUGACAAUUGCGCAGACAUUUUGUUUUGUUAGGGAAGAUCAGCCUGGGUGGGAGCACAGCUUUCGGAUGCUGAGCAGCAGAGAAUAGGGCAGAAAUUUGGAGAGGGCAAAUUCAGGUCUCUGAGAAUAUCUUUAAAAAAAUGCCCAAGAAAUGUAACUGAUGGGUUGCAGGGCCCUGGUUCAGCCAAUGGCUGUGGCAAGACGUUGGAGACCUGUCAGGAUCAUGCCAAGAAACACCAGAGCCAUUGCAGCAGGUGGCCGUGGCAGGAGACCUUCUCCUUAUGGGUUCCUGAGAUGUUUGGAGGUAGGAAGCACAUGAGGCUGAAUUUCAAGAGUUCAGUUGCAAGGGCCAGUUAGGGCAGCUGCUGGAUGCAACCGCCAGAUCAGAACUCAGGAUAAGGACACAGCGCAACAGAGAAAACAGCCAGGAGAACAAGCCCUGGCUCACUGAGACUUGUCAGUAUUUGCACCCAACACAGAUGUUUGUAUUUAUGAAGGUAUGGGCUCCAACCUCCAGACCCAGACCUCUGGCCAGGCCCAGCUCCAAUUUAAUCUCCGAUGCAUUCACCAAAGAUUAACUUGGAGAUAAAGACAGAACUAGAAAUAUUUGAAGCCCAAAAACCUGCUGGGGUACUUUUGUUAUGGAAAGCAAAACCCUCUUGAAAUGUGCAAAGGAAAUGUAAACAUAAAAAUACAAGAAAGAUCCAGUGAUCCACUGACAUAUUUCUGAAUUCUUCCCCUUUUCAAAGUUCUGAGGUUUGAACAUUAUGAACAGUUGACUGUUUGAAUCGUAUAAUGCAAUACCUGUUCCUCUGGCUUAACGUUACCAUAUUUCCCACACCGCAGGAUUGCUUCACAUUAUUCUAAGAGGCAGUGUCAUUUUCCCUGCAGUGCUGGGUCUUCUUUACUGAGGCGAAGGACACUCCUACUUCCUUUAAUUAUAUGUUUUGUUUUAAAUUAAUGUCCUUUAUUCUGAGGAUGAAUCACCAGCUUGUAGACAGGUAAAUGUGGGAGUAAGAGAGUGAAAAUAAAGUUUGAUUCCCAAGGAAUGCCUUUAAACACGGUCCCCUCUGGCUUCAGAGCGCAGAUUCCCUGUCGCCUUUGUACCCUGACAGUUGCACCGUAUCGUGCAAAGUAAAUACACCAAGGCAAACUUCAGUCACCGUUCCCGCAUGCAGAGAUGGGGAGCGGAGCUCGGCUCUGACUGCUCGCGGCCGUCAAGAAGGAAGCCGGGAGUGCACGGUGCCCCGCUCCAAACUGCGCUCACUUGGCUCUCCGCUUGCUCUUGUAAAAUGGUUCUGCACACGUCUGUAUGGGACGGUUCUGCCUGCCAGUGCGGUUUACUCAAUCAGGCACUGGACGGAGAAUAAGAGGAUCUGUCUUCUAUUUGCAGCUUUUUCCCCCUGCUUUGGCAAAAGAGCUUGGAAAAACGCCUUCUGCCUCGAUUUCCCCAGGGGUAAAACGCGACCCAGACGGGUUUUGCACCCAAUUCUGCGCGGCACACGCAGCCCCACAGCGCCAACCCUUCCUCUCAGACGCAAAAGGCCCGGCCUUGCACUGGCAAAAGGGCAGCGGCGGCGCCCCG